UACAGAGGUCUCAAGCGUUGUUCGGAUUCAUUGGGCGUAAAGGGUGCGUAGGCGGCGCGGUAAGUCGGGUGUGAAAUCUCGGAGCUUAACUCCGAAACUGCAUUCGAUACUGCCGUGCUUGAGGACUGGAGAGGAGACUGGAAUUUACGGUGUAGCGGUGAAAUGCGUAGAUAUCUGGAGGAACACCGGUGGCGAAGGCGGCGCUCUGGACCGAGACUGACGCUGAGGCGCGAAAGCGUGGGGAGCAAACAGG
rnacentral:rRNA from 1 species